UACGUAGGGCGCGAGCGUUGUCCGGAAUCAUUGGGCGUAAAGCGCGUGUAGGCGGCUGAUUAAGUCUGCUGUGAAAGCCCAGGGCUCAACCCUGGAAUGUCGGUGGAUACUGCUCAGCUGGAGUACGGGAGGGGCGAGUGGAAUUCCUGGUGUAGCGGUGAAAUGCGUAGAGAUCAGGAGGAACACCGGUGGCGAAGGCGGUGGUCUGGGCCGGCACUGACACUGAGGCACGAAAGCGUGGGGAGCAAACAGG
rnacentral:rRNA from 1 species